GGAGUCUAGCACGUGCGCGAGUCAUUGGGACUAGCGAAACCUAAAGGCGCAAUGAAAGUGAAGGUCGGCCUCGCGCCGACCGAGGGAGGAUGGGCCGCGCUCCGGCGCGGCCCCGCACUCCCGGGGCGUCUCGUUCUCAUCGCGAGAAGAGGCGCACCCAGAGCGUACGCGCUGGGACCCGAAAGAUGGUGAACUAUGCCUGGUCAGGACGAAGUCAGGGGAAACCCUGAUGGAGGUCCGAAGCGAUUCUGACGUGCAAAUCGAUCGUCGGAACUGGGUAUAGGGGCGAAAGACUAAUCGAACCAUCUAGUAGCUGGUUCCCUCCGAAGUUUCCCUCAGGAUAGCUGGCGCUCGCUUUUGCGAGUCUCAUCUGGUAAAGCGAAUGAUUAGAGGCAUUGGGGUCGAAACGGCCUCAACCUAUUCUCAAACUUUAAAUGGGUGAGAUCUCCGGCUUGCUCGAAACGCAUCGGUGAAGCCGCGAGAUCGGAUCAGAGUGCCAAGUGGGCCAUUUUUGGUAAGCAGAACUGGCGCUGUGGGAUGAACCAAACGCAGAGUUAAAGCUCCCAAAUCUACGCUUAUGGGAUACCAUGAAAGGCGUUGGUAACUUAAGACAGCAGGACGGUGGCCAUGGAA
rnacentral:rRNA from 2 species